GCCCAUUUGGGCAGAGGGAUCCUCCUCCCAUCGUCACUGCAAUUACAGGAGCGAAGCUGCAAACGCCUCUGAGAAGCGCUGGAGCCACAGGGAGCAGACGCCGGAGGACCCUGCGAGGGAAGCGGAAUGGAUCCAGCCUCAGCGUCACUGCGCUGCGCCAGAGCGGCUAAAGCUCUGCCUGCUCUUGUAGCUAGCCUGCAGCUGCCUUGGUUUGGUACCAGGGGAAGUCCUGACCGUGUGGUGGAUUAGGAACUUCCCCACACCAGCGUUAUUUGCUGUUUCCUAGGCCAGCUCAGGCAGCUUGGAAGUAAGGUGAAGCUCUCUUUGCAGCAUGGCAAAAUUUAGAAGCACAUCUCUGGAGGUCUUUGCAGUUACAGACAAGUGAGCAAUAAUACAGAAAUGCAAACUCCUUCCUGGAGGAAGAAAACUGCCCUGAAGGGCUCAAAGAUAACCCCUCUUUUCCUCCCCCCUCUACCUUGGACAGGCAAACAAAA